rnacentral:rRNA from 1 species
AACGAACGCUGGCGGCAUGCCUAACACAUGCAAGUCGAGCGCCCGGUUUCGGCCGGGAGCGGCGCACGGGUGAGUAACGCGUGGGAACCUGCCCCGGGGUGGGGGAUAACCGGUGGAAAC